rnacentral:lncRNA from 1 species
ACUAAAGGAAAAAUUCAGCUUAGGGUUUAAGACCCUAACGCUGAUUGCAUGGAAAAGCUCAGUUUAGGGUUUAAAACCCUAAUGCUGGCUGACAGGAAAAGAGUUCAGUUUAGGGUUUAAAACCCAAAUGCUGAUUAAAGGGAAAAAUUCAGUUUAGGGUUUAAAACCCUAAUGCUGAUUGCAUGGAAAAGCUCAGUUUAAGGUUAAAAACCCUAAUGCUGGCUGAAUGGAAAAAGUUCAGUUUAGGGUUUAAAACCCUAAUGCUGACUAAAUGGGAAAAAAGUUCAGUUUAGGGUUUAAAACCCUAAUGCUGACUAAAGGAAAAAUUCAGUUUAGGGUUUAAAACCCUAACGCUGAUUGCAUGGAAAAGCUCAGUUUAGGGUUUAAAACCCUAAUGCUGGCUGAAAGGAAAAGCUCAGUUUAGG